CUAGGUCGAAAGACAAAACUCAAAGUCAUAGUAGGUGGGCUGGGGACUCUUCAUUUGAAGGGACAUCCAAGGCAAACUGCCCUCUCUGAACUUUAGAGAAGCCACUUCCGGGGGGGGGGGGGAGCCCAUUGGGUGGAUUCUGCUGGCUGUGGGGCCAGAGGAGUCCCAAACUACUUGGGGUUGGGCCCCACCGAGCGGCAUCUCAGCCAAGUCCUGCUCUCAACCCAGCCGGGUCCAGGGAAACCGGCAGCAUGGAAUCCAGCCACGACACUAAGCACCUAGCACUCCACUACGCCUUGGGAAAUGGUCUUACUGGCACAUCUCCCGAGCCGCCUCGGAUAGCUCACCUCCCGGAAAGGAGGAGAGGAAAGCCAGAAGAAUGAAAGAGGAGGAGGGCCCGGACCCCCCGCAAAGAUGCUCUGGAAACCCAGUGGUCCACAGUGUCGCGCGAGCAGGACUCAUCCGCCUACCCGGUUUUGUCCCCCCCCCCCCCCCCCGUGUCCCUCCUGAGGCCAGGACACACCGUCCCUACUUGGAUCUGGACUGGGGACUCCAUUCAGGUCUGUGGGUCCUGCGGGGGGGAGGGGGGGCGAGAAUUCUCAUCCACUCCCAAUCCCACUGUAUUCUUCUGGGCCUGACCCUGAGCCCUGACCCACACGGCACACCCGGCUGGAGUGCACUUGGCUGGGCUUGGAUGCCCAAGGUCCGUUGAGUCUUGAGGCAGAGACUGGAGACCCGGGUCUGCCGGGAGUACGGAGGCCGACGCUUCGCUCGGGCCUGGCCUCCACCCCCGUUCCUACCCCGGGCGGAUGCCUCUGGGCGGCGGGCCGUGCGCGGCGGGAUGCUGAGUGUCUGUGCGCGGGGCCGCCUAUAUUUACACCCAAAACAAAAUAAUUACACUCUUGUCGGAGGGAGAAAGCCAGUGAUUAGGCGCAGGCUCUUUGCGGCAAAGCAGUUUCUCAGUGGUACACCAGUAUAAUUUUUCACGGCUGGCUGAAAUCAAAGAGGGGAAGUAAUGAAUCCGGAGAGCAAUUUAAAUUUACAAUUUGUAACGCCGCCGCCGCCGCCGCCGCCGCCGCGCAGACCCGGCCGAGAGCGCAGCUCCCAGGCGUUCACUGCGUUUGUUUAAUGUUAAAGCUUCGCUGGCUCUUGGUGGGGUGGGGGGUGGGGGUUGGAUAAGGAUGCGUGAUGGGGUAGGGGGGGGUAAUGAUCGAGAUCGGAAGGGAACUGGCUGCUUCGACACCUGAGAUGCUUGGGGGCGGGGGGAAAGGCGGGAGGACAAGGGGCAAACCUCCUGGAUCCCCGCCCCCUCAAUCCCCCACCCCCCGGCCAGCGCCGGGCCUCCAGCCUGCCCCUUCAUAAAUAAAAAUAAAUAAAUAAACGCAUAAAUAAAUAAGUACAAAACAAACAAAAACAACCCCGGCUGCUCGGGCCAUUCUAAGGCGGGUAGCGAGUUAAGAAGACUUCGAAGGACUCAGAGAUGGCCGGCCUCUUUCUUGCUUGGUUGAAGAAUUUCCGAGGCAUGGGGAGCCGAGCGGAGCAGAGGUGCGCCCGGCGGCGACCCAACGGAAAUGUCCUGCUCAGCCCGCGGCGCAAGAGGCACCUCCUUCCUCCACCGCUGUCCAGUGUCCCCAGCUGGAAACCGGGAGAAAGACACCCCCACGCCCAAGCUCUCCGGGUCUUGAAACUCCCACUCCAGCCGGGAGGUGUGCGUCUCUUCGCCAGUAAUUAAUUACCGAACUCAAGGGGGAAUAUGCAAGGAACAUUUUACUAACUCUACAGGGCUUAAGUGAUUGGAAACAGAUUAUUAUCGUGUUUGUCUUUUGUCUGUUUCAUUUAUCCCCGCACCGUCUGUUGAGCAGUAAUGUUGAUACUCUUUACUCUAGAAGGGAGAUUUUUAUAUAGUAAAUUCCAUCAACAUCU